rnacentral:lncRNA from 1 species
AUGUACUGUCCCUUCUGUGGACACCUCUUGGCAGACAGUCCUGCCUUUUGUAGUCUAUGUGGUAAAAACAUCAAGUUUUUAAAGGACAUCACCAGCAUUGUGUCGAGAAAUCCUGCCCUUGGUGAAGAGGCAGCAGCUCUUCCAUCUACCAGUUCCAGCAUCCUGACUGGCACAACUAUACAGUCUACACAGGCUGGGAAAUCAUUAGUGGAGUCAUUUAGAAAAUUUAGGGAUGUUAAAGAAAGGGAGAGAAAGGCCUUUUUUUCAAAGAAACACCAGGAACAGAAGGAACAUAAACCAGUGAAGAUACAGAUUGGCAUCAUGACAAGGACCAGUGAUGGUAUAAGACCUGUUCGAGGAAAGUCACUUCCGGUUGAUGUUCAUUCUCACUGGUCAACUGAGCAAGUCUUGUCUGCCAGCGUGAAAAAACAUAAGGACUUUAACCAGGACAUGGCCGAUGGACCCUAUGUACUGCUAUACCCUGAUGCAAGGGAAGUUAGCACAAUUCCUGGAACCAACACCCCUUUCACCAUCCAAAAAUACAAGGAUGCCAUAGGGAAGGCCUAUCAAAGAAUAACUCUCUACAUUUGUAACCAUGAUGACUUCUUAAAUACUGAUUGCAACACAGAGUGUGAAUCUGAAGAGGACAAUGAAGUUCAAGUAAAAGUAGUAGAAAGCCCACUGUCGGACACUGUGGUAUGGGAUUUUCCAGAUAAUCACAGCACGCCGGAAACAGCACCUUCAACAAAUAGGUAA